rnacentral:sRNA from 1 species
GAGAGGGGCUAGAGAUUAGCCUCUACUCGAUUGUGCUACCUCAUCAAAAAGAAGUUAGGACAAAUAGCUGUCAACAAUUGCCUUUUGCUUAUCCCUUCAGUUGAUGUGAUAAAAGAUGGUAGUUGUCAUUGACAAAGCAUUGAUAAAGGAGUAAAAUUAA